GAAUUCGAUUCAGGCCUAACACAUGCAAGUCGAACGGUAGAGGGGCAACCCUUGAGAGUGGCGAACGGGUGAGUAAUACAUCGGAACGUGCCCAGUCGUGGGGGAUAACGUAGCGAAAGCUACGCUAAUACCGCAUACGACCUGAGGGUGAAAGCGGGGGAUCGCAAGACCUCGCGCGAUUGGAGCGGCCGAUGGCAGAUUAGGUAGUUGGUGGGGUAAAGGCCUACCAAGCCUGCGAUCUGUAGCUGGUCUGAGAGGACGACCAGCCACACUGGGACUGAGACACGGCCCAGACUCCUACGGGAGGCAGCAGUGGGGAAUUUUGGACAAUGGGCGCAAGCCUGAUCCAGCCAGACCGCGUGCGGGAAGAAGGCCUUCGGGUUGUAAACCAAUGGUGUCAGGGAAGAAAUCUUCUGGGCUAAUACCUCGGGAGGAUGAC
rnacentral:rRNA from 1 species